CAGCAGCCGCGGUAAUACGGAGGGGGCUAGCGUUGUUCGGAAUUACUGGGCGUAAAGCGCACGUAGGCGGCUUGGUAAGUUAGAGGUGAAAGCCUGGAGCUCAACUCCAGAAUUGCCUUUAAGACUGCCGAGCUAGCAGGUGAGAGAGGUAAGUGGAAUUCCGAGUGUAGAAGUGAAAUUCGUAGAUAUUCGGAAGAACACCAGUGGCGAAGGCGGCUUACUGGCUCACACUGGACGCUGAGGUGCGAAAGCGUGGGGAGCAAACAGGAUUAGAUACCCGCGUAGUCCCUGUCUCUUAUAC
rnacentral:rRNA from 1 species